AUUUUCCUCUCAAUAGAUGGAAACACUUUCUUAUUCUUUUUUUUUUGUUGUUAUUUUGAUAACAUUUUCUAUGAGAAGAAAAAUUAACAAUUAAAUUGUUUACUUUAGAUUAAAGGUGUUGAUUUGAUUGUUUGGAGUAAAUUGUUGAUUGAAAUCUAUGAUUUUCCAAUGAGAGUUUGUAUUAGUUGACAAGUUAUUGAUUGGUUUUCUUUUAUGGCUUUUCAAGGCUUGUUAAUAGAUUUAAUCGACUGACAACUUUAAAAUGGUUUCCUUUUUGUUUCUAAUCAGCUGUUGAAUAUUUGGUUUCCUUUCCCUUCAAACGGAUUAG